AACGAACGCUGGCGGCAUGCCUAACACAUGCAAGUCGAACGAGACCUUCGGGUCUAGUGGCGCACGGGUGCGUAACGCGUGGGAACCUGCCCUUAGGUUCGGAAUAACUCCCCGAAAGGGGUGCUAAUACCGGAUAAUGUCUUCGGACCAAAGAUUUAUCGCCUUUGGAUGGGCCCGCGUUGGAUUAGCUAGUUGGUAGGGUAAAAGCCUACUAAGGCGACGAUCCAUAGCUGGUCUGAGAGGAUGAUCAGCCACACUGGGACUGAGACACGGCCCAGACUCCUACGGGAGGCAGCAGUGGGGAAUAUUGGACAAUGGGCGAAAGCCUGAACCAGCAAUGCCGCGUGAGUGAUGAAGGCCUUAGGGUUGUAAAGCUCUUUUACCCGGGAUGAUAAUGACAGUACCGGGAGAAUAAGCUCCGGCUAACUCCGUG
rnacentral:rRNA from 1 species